rnacentral:rRNA from 1 species
CCUACCUCUAACUCGGGGAUAACAUUGCGAAAGUGAUGCUAAUACCGGAUAAUAUCUAAUUUGCUUCGGCAGUUUAGGUCAAGGGUGGCCUCUAUAUAUAAGCUACUGAUUGGAGAUGAGCCCGCGUACCAUUAGCUUGUUGGUAGGGUAAUGGCCUACCAAGGCCACGAUGGUUAGCUGGUCUGAGAGGAUGAUCAGCCACACUGGAACUGACACACGGUCCAG